ACAUGCUUACAUCAUAGUGUUAAUUCACUGGAUCCCAUUAGAACUUUGUAGUUAAGCACGCUCCAGCUAGAUUAGUACUGGGAUGGGUGACCUCCCAGAAAGUCCUAGUAUUUUACAUGCC
rfam:Picea glauca, whole genome shotgun sequence.